rnacentral:rRNA from 1 species
GAAUUUUGCGCAAUGGGCGAAAGCCUGACGCAGCGACGCCGCGUGGAGGACGAAGGUCUUCGGAUCGUAAACUCCUGUCAAGCGGGACGAAUCCCGGACGGAUGAAUAAGCCGUUCGGUUGACGGUACCGCUGGAGGACGCCCCGGCUACCUCCGUCCCAGCAGCCCCGGUAAUACGGUGGGGGCCAGCGUUGUUCGGAGUCAUUGGGCGUAAAGGGCGCGUAGGCGGCCAUGCAAGUCGGAGGUGAAAGCCCUCGGCUCAACCGAGGAACUGCCUCCGAAACUGCAUGGCUUGAGUCCCGGAGAGGGUGGUGGAAUUCCCAGUGUAGCGGUGAAAUGCGUAGAUAUUGGGAGGAACACCGGUGGCGAAGGCGGCCACCUGGACGGGUACUGACGCUGAGGCGCGAAAGCGUGGGGAGCAAACAGG